CCCGCUUCCUCACCUCUCUUUCUCCCUACCAUCCUGACUGUUCCCCAUCCUGACUGUUCCCCCAACCUGGUUUAUUCUUUCCCCGUUCCCCACGGUGCCUCAUUCUACUCCUGUACCACAGUCAACAUAUUCAGAUCCUCCUCCACUCUAACUCUGGGUCCCUAGUCCUCUCUUCCCAGCCCCCGCCUUCAUAAUCUUCUAAAAAUAAAAGCUGUGAUUCAAAUUGGCAACUCCGGAAACACACAAUCCAGCCCAGGCAUCCGCCGGGUAGGGGACAAGGAAGGACCCACAAACAGAGAAAUACCCAGACGAAACAACCCAGGCUGACAUGUAACCAAAGCUGGUCUUAGACCCUCUACAUAGCUGAGGGUGAUCUGAGGCCCUGCUCCUCCUGCCUCUACCUCCCGAAUCACGAAUGGCACAGUUUCAUGCGAUGCUGUGGCAGGCAAGCGCUGCCCCGACUAAGCUACUACGUCCUCACCCUCUUCACUCGGAUUCCUGAUCGUUUACAUGCAAGAAGCCGUAGAUCAGUCUAGAGAAACAGGUAUAGAGAACCCAAAGAGAGAAACAACAGCAAGCCAAGAACCAAGUCUGAAGAGACCGCAGAGUCUCAGGUUCACCGUUGUCAUCAUCACCGUCACAAUCCAUCAUCUCCUCGUUUCUCCUUUUAGUUCAAAAGAAAUACUCGCUUGAGAUUCAGGCUCAGCAGCUGCUCUGGAGGUCCUUCCUCUUCCGUCUUCCUCUUCUUCUUCAACAUCACCACACCCACUGCCAUCGCACAGUCGCCUUCUGUCAAAUAUCUAACUGCAAUGGUGGCCGUACUCCUCCUUCUGUGGGAUCAGAGGAGGUUCAGUUUACACACACAACCUAAGAGUGUGGAAAGCCCUCAGAAAGUGAGGACUGGGGUUGGGUGGGGGUGGGAAGAGAAUUUAAAACAGAGUGUCUGUUGAGGGAAAUUAAUCAACGGCCAAGCAGAUUGCUUGUCAUCUUUCAAUAUCUGUAAAAAUAACAGGCCUCUAGAGAGAGAGAGAGACAGCCAGAGCGCCAAGGGAACAGAAGACCAGAAGAUGCUCUGCCCAGCCCAGGCCUGUGAGAAGAUCCAGGAGACGGAGAACCACCCACUUUGGGUAUUGGCCAACACUCCGUCUUCCCUAGCCACAGUCGCUCUUGCCACCCCUUGGAAGCUGGCGGCCUCCAGUUACACUGCCCAGGAGUUUGGAAAUUGCCUGUCUCUGCUAGUCUGAAUCCCACCUGCCUUCUAGCUCACUGAGCUGGUUGCUCCCUGUGAAUGUCGGCUGCCAGCCGGGCAGUCAGGAUGCAUAGGAACUUGAAGAGAGGGCAGCGGCUUCCCGGAUCAGAGCCUCCGCCCAGACUUCCAGCCAAGGCCCCAGAACUCCCAGGACCUGGAGGGUUUUUUCUCCUGGUUGUGUUUGGAAUUGGCUGGUUUUUCUGGGCAUCAGGCCCAGCUCAGUUUAAUUUUUGUUUAUUUUUAUGUACAGAUUCUCUUCUGUUUGGGGAAGAGCUUUGUGUAAAUUAUUAUUAUUUAUAUGAUAAAGAAUAAAUCACACCAAAUAAAAAAACCCACAAUCUCUUUUCUCAAUAGAAUUACUAAAUUAGGGACUGAAAAGAACAGCCGAUAUGCUGGGGUUUGGUUUCAGAAAGCUUUGGACACGGAUUCUCACAAAGUGUCUCAGUCACUGGGCUCUGUCAUCUGUAUUUGAUGCCUUUUGGACAGUCAGCAAUGGCACAUGGGCUAGGCUAGGAAGACUACAGAGUGGCAGGACCUAAGGGUGUGGGUUUCCUGAUCUGCUGUACUCCCAUCCCCUGGGAGCUGGCUUGAGCAUUUUCAUGUGAUUUGCUAACAGAAUGGGGAAAGA
rnacentral:sRNA from 1 species